ensembl:lncRNA
CGGGUUUUUGCCGCUGUUGUUUGUGAGCUGUGAGGAAAGUGGGGCUCUUACUGUACCUACAGAGGCCAGCUUUUGUCUGAGAGAGGUUUUUGUUGGACCCGCUCCACAUCACCUCAUGUUUGAGAUUACGGCCCAAGCCACCCAGACAGCAGAGCGGGAUCCAGGAGGAAUUUUUUAAUAAAUUUGUUGAGCAUUAUACAGAACAAAUGCUUUUUUUAGUCGUGGCUGCCUGUUUGCUGGACAUAAAGGGAAGAACGCUUAUAAUAAUGACUGACUGAUGUUUUCUUAUGACAAAUCCCCUCUUUUGUAAUGAUUAGUUUUUUCUAAUCACCUUCUCAACAAGCCUGUUAAGUCUAAGUUUUUGUCCAGUAUUUGGCUUCGAGAGAGACCACACCACUGCUUCUUGAUUCCAGGGGCUCGUGCAACUUGUUCUUGCAUGUUCUUAUCCAGGAUUCAAUCAGAGCCGACCCUCACUCCGCGCUCCAGCUCGCUAAUCCCCCGUCGAGCGCCUCACUGUGUCGGCUGCUGUUUGUAGUCAAGUCUCCUACGACCCCGGCUGAAGGUCGCGUCGUGUUCCUUUCAGCUCCUCCGCCUGAUUCACCUGAGCAGGUGAGUCUGUGGAUGUGGACGUCCAACGGGGCGCUUUGUGCAGACGUUUUCUGUCUUGAGUGGAACUUGCAGCUUGUUUGCCAGUUUUAUUUCUGCCUUUUUUUUCUGGAGUGGAUCAAAACGUGAGUCAGGUCUUGGUGCAUGUGUGUGGCCGGCUGCAUACCGACAGGCUUUAGGCAGAUACUCUUAAAUCUUCCCUCUAACAUCAACCUUCUGUCAAAACAAGUCUGAAUGUGUGAGUCGCAUGAAUCACAUUGACUUAGUCAAACGGCUGCGUGAGUCUGGGGGAAUCUGAUGGCCCACACGAUCAGAUGCUUAUUUAAAUCAUGAGUGAACAGACUAGAAUAUUUUUACUAAUAAAGGGAAUGUUGCAGCAGGAUCCUCAUCUGAACGGUUCAAACCUGGAUAUUAACACCGUGUCACACCACAGAAAAGCUUCUAAGUGGGUCUGUCCUGUCGCUUCGCACCAAUCAAACCACCAGACUGCAAUACAAAACUCCCACAGACUCACGGAGCCUCAAAUGGCUCAUAGCUUGGGUGACCUGCCUCUCUCUCCAGGGACGUCCCUGCUACUGCAUCCGUUGCCGCUGAGGGGAACCGGGCUUCUCAUGAUUCGAUGGGCCUUUCCUUCAACCCAGUUUGCGGAGCUGGAGGCUCAAGCGGACGAUUCCCCUGAAGCUGUUGAACCUGCUGCACCUGAACCCAUCAGGGCGUCUGCUCAGACCAGCUGAUCAGACCCGAUCCUGGCUCUGACCUGCACAUCAGCCCAGUCCAGCAUCUCAGCAGAGGUCACGCGUGUGCAGGGCUCCACCAGCACCAGCCUCUUCACUGCCUCCUGGCAUCAUCAAGGUCAGCCUCGACUACACGCCUGAGGACAUUAAAGAUGUUAUGGACUGAGUGAAGAGGUUGCUCCUUGAAGCCGUUUCCUUAAUGGCACCACGUGGCAUUAAAGGAAGCGCGUGACCGAGGCCGAGCGCUGGAUGUGGUUAAUUGAAUGAGGACAAGUCGCUGACAGCAACGAGACGCAUCACGGGAUGGUACCGGGCUUUUAUGGCAGACGUCUGUCACUGCUGAAUGAGAGGGUCCACAGCUCCGGACCCACCCGGCGCCGCGGCGCUUGCACAGGGCUCUUAUGUGAUUUAGAGCCAGCGUGUCUGCGUGAGCAGCUCCAGCCCAGGAGAGGAAACGCAUGUGGAGCAGCAGUUUCCCGUCGGACUGAACCGUCCCGACCGGCUGCUCCGUUCUCACUGAAGACCUCGACGCCCCGGCGUAGCUUCAGAUUUGUCAGCUUGGGUACAAAAACGCUGAUUCACAAAAGCUCCUUGAAAGUCGCCAUCGUCGGCCUGGGUUUUCCAGCCAGUGUGGGCUGCGUGUAACCCGACAUGUCUACGUCUAAUUGCUGAGAUUGAAGAACAGUGGACGGUUUGAUUUUCCCCAUGUGAAAGUAGUGUUUCCAUGUCGGAAUCCACACCCACGACACCAGCCCUCAGCGCAAACAUUUAUUUCGCGUCUCGGCGUUGUUUACAAACUGCCGGUGACAGCCCCUCUCAUUACGCCGUUCCCUACAGAGCCUCUCAUGCAGGACAUUUUUGGAUUUGCCAAAAUGACUUCAUAAUUAUCAUCAUUUCAUAAUAAAGCCGAUCAGCGUCUCA